AUUUGUUAUAAAGUCUCCAUUGAAAACCCUAACUUUUGGAAGACAAGAAAGAAGGGAGAGAGCCACGGUUUUUAGUGAGAAAGAAGAGAAGAGAGAAAAACACAAGUUUUUCUCAUCAUGCCCAGAUUUCAUCAAAGGUCCGAUCCCACUUCGUCCAUGGUCCGAUUGAGCUGAAAUUUGGAGGAGAGUUUCGUGACUCAUUUAUCUUCAAUCUGAACGGUGAAGAUCUGAUUUGGAGUUUCGGAAAGUCAUUAUAAAGAGAGAGGAGAAGAGAGAAAAACGCAGGUUUUUCUCAUCAUGCCCAGAUUUCAUCAAAUGUCCGAUCCUGCUUCAUCCGUGGUCCGAUCGAGUUGAAAUUUGAAGGAGCGGUUCGUGGCUCAUGUAUCUUCAAUAUAACGGUGGAGAUCGGAUUUGGAGUUUUGGACAGUCAUUAGAGAGAAAGAGGAGAAGAGAGAAAAACAGUGGUUUUUUACAUCAUGCCCAGAUUUCAUCAAAGGUCCGAUGCCGCUUUGUUCAUGGUCUGAUUGAGCUGAAAUUUGGAGGAGAGGUUCAUAAGUCAUUAAUCUUAAAUUUGAACGGUGAAGAUCGGAUUUGAACGGUUUCAAAGGAAAUUGAUUGGCCAAAAGACAAGAAGUCAUAAUGUUGAAGGAGGUAGUGAUGCCGAAAAUCAUGAAGAUUACAUCAAAGUCAUUUGGAGGAUGAUCUUAUUUUUUAUAGAAUAUAGAUCUUAAUAGUUGUUGCACUAAUAUUUGUUCUUUUGUAGAAUUAGAAAUUGUUAUUGAAAUAUUUUGAUAUAAUUAAUAAAUUUGUAUGUAAGUAUGAAGUUACAUUAA